rnacentral:rRNA from 1 species
GGUAACACUAACUGGAGGACCGAACCGACUAAUGUUGAAAAAUUAGCGGAUGACCUGUGGCUGGGGGUGAAAGGCCAAUCAAACCGGGAGAUAGCUGGUUCUCCCCGAAAGCUAUUUAGGUAGCGCCUCGUGAAUUCAUCUCCGGGGGUAGAGCACUGUUUCGGCUAGGGGGCCAUCCCGGCUUACCAACCCGAUGCAAACUGCGAAUACCGGAGAAUGUUAUCACGGGAGACACACGGCGGGUGCUAACGUCCGUCGUGAAGAGGGAAACAACCCAGACCGCCAGCUAAGGUCCCAAAGUCAUGGUUAAGUGGGAAACGAUGUGGGAAGGCCCAGACAGCCAGGAUGUUGGCUUAGAAGCAGCCAUCAUUUAAAGAAAGCGUAAUAGCUCACUGGUCGAGUCGGCCUGCGCGGAAGAUGUAACGGGGCUAAACCAUG